AUUGAACGCUGGCGGCAGGCCUAACACAUGCAAGUCGAGCGGAUGAAGGGAGCUUGCUCCUGGAUUCAGCGGCGGACGGGUGAGUAAUGCCUAGGAAUCUGCCUGGUAGUGGGGGAUAACGUCCGGAAACGGGCGCUAAUACCGCAUACGUCCUGCGGGUGAAAGUGGGGGAUCUUCGGACCUCACGCUAUCAGAUGAGCCUAGGUCGGAUUAGCUAGUUGGUGGGGUAAAGGCCUACCAAGGCGACGAUCCGUAACUGGUCUGAGAGGAUGAUCAGUCACACUGGAACUGAGACACGGUCCAGACUCCUACGGGAGGCAGCAGUGGGGAAUAUUGGACAAUGGGCGAAAGCCUGAUCCAGCCAUGCCGCGUGUGUGAAGAAGGUCUUCGGAUUGUAAAGCACUUUAAGUUGGGAGGAAGGGCAGUAAGUUAAUACCUUGCUGUUUUGACGUUACCAACAGAAUAAGCACCGGCUAACUUCGUG
rnacentral:rRNA from 1 species